rnacentral:rRNA from 1 species
GACGGAGGAUGCAAGCGUUAUCCGGAAUGAUUGGGCGUAAAGCGUCUGCAGGUGGCAGUUCAAGUCUGCUGUCAAAGACCGGGGCUUAACUUCGGAAAGGCAGUGGAAACUGAACAGCUAGAGUAUGGUAGGGGCAGAGGGAAUUCCUGGUGUAGCGGUGAAAUGCGUAGAGAUCAGGAAGAAUAUCGGUGGCGAAGGCGCUCUGCUGGACCAUAACUGACACUCAGGGACGAAAGCUAGGGGAGCGAAUGGG